ACAUGUCCAAAAAAUACUUGAUCUCAUGUGUCUAAAAUAACCAUUUUAUUUUUAUUUUGGCUGAUCAGAUGAUAUGGGAUGAAGGAAAAAUAAGGGAGUGCUUUUUGCCAUAUGAAAGCAAUCAUAUUUUAUCAUUGUCGUUGAGUCUAAGGAGGCUGUAAGAUCGAUUAGUGUAGACCAAUAGCAAGGAUGGCCACUAUAUGGUUAGAUUGGGCUACUGUCUGCUAUGUUCGGUAAUGGGGGGAGCGCAUGAGCCUAGUUUAUUUGGUAAUGCAAUAUCGAUGCGGAGGAAAUUGUGGGGUCUGAAUUUGUCGAGGAAAAUUCUUCUAUUUAUAUGGAGGGUGCUGAAUAGUUGUUUGCCUACAAGAGCUGCUUUGAUUAAGAGGAGAGUUAAUGUUGCUACAGGUUGUUCGUUUUGUGAUGCGGUGAUGGAAACAGAAUUUCAUAUUUUAUGUGAAUGUCCUUUUUCUAGAGCAGUAUGACUUAUCUCUAUGUGGGAUUUUCUUUCACAAAAAUUUUCUUCUAUAGGUGAUUGUUGAGAGUGGUUCCUGCCUCAGCAUUGAAGUUGUUCACAAUGUCAACAGUGGAGCUUUACUUAUUGUUAAGUAGUUAUUUUACUAUUAAUGUUAGAAGUUGGUUGUGGUGCUUGACCAAGUUUUUUGUAAUGGGUGGUUAUCCCAUAUUAGGUACCAAACUUAGAAUGUGCCCAUCAUGGCACUAAUUUUCAGUUCUUCUUUGUUGUUUUUCCUUGACUUUAGUUGCAGUUUUUUUAUGAAAUGUAUUGUAAGACAAGUCUCUGUGUGAGUGUGAUCAUCUUCUCUAAUGUCCAGUACCUGGUUUUCUUGAUAUCUCUGUUUUUCCUUCUUAAAACUCUCUUUACUUCAUUGUGAUCAUCAACAAAAUACAUUUCUUAACAUGGUAUCAGAACAGUAAGAGGCAUCUUGAGGGACCUAGUUUUAUUUUAUUUUUCCUUUCAUCAAGUAUGAAAACCAGUAUCAUCUUAGUAUUCUUUUUUGCCUGCAUUUCAUUGUUUUUCAAUGGCUUCUGCAAGUUACAAUGCCUCCACUCUACUUGUUUUUUUUGGAGAAAAUUACCCUAUAUGGGCUGUUAAAAUGAAGGCUUAUCUUCGAGCCUUUGAUUUGUGGGAGGUUGUAGAAGUUGGGGGAGAACCCUCGGUUAUGAGGCCAACAAAUUCAACCAUCACUCAGAUAAAGCAGCACAGUAAGGGGGUGGCUAAGCACUAUAAAGCUCUCUCCUGUAUUCACUAUGCCAUGACAGACUCAAUUUUCACAAGAAUUAUUGCUUGUGAAUCUCCAAAAGAAGCUUGGGACAAGCUUAAAGAGGAAUUUCAUGGCACUGACAAAACGAGACAGAUUCAAGUGCUCAAUUUGCUGAGGGAGUUUGAAGUGUUAAAGAUGAAAGAAGAUGAAACCAUAAAAGACUAUUUGAAAUAGUCUUGAAGAUUGGCAAUCAACUGAGGUUAUUAGAUGAGGAGCUUCCUAAUAGAAGGAUUGUGCAUAAAUUUCUGGUUAGCUUACCAGAAAAAUUCGAAGCAAACAUCUCCUCUUUGGAAGACUUGAAGGAUAUGUCUAAACUCUCAGUGAUUAAAUUGAUAAAUGCGCUACAAGCUCAAGAACAAAGGAGAGCCAUUCGUCAGGAGGAGAAUGUUGAGAGUGCUCUUACAACAAGGACAAAGGAUCUUAGACUUGGCAACUAUAGUGCUAAAAAACAUGACAACUUUAGGCGAGAUAAAGAAAAGAAGAAUGGUGAUGGCAAGCAAAACAAACAAGGAAAUAAAUUUUCUCCCUGUUAGCAUUGUAAAAAAUAGGAACCAUACUCCUAAAUAUUGUUUGUACAGGCCUAAUGUUAAGUGUAGGUCUUGUAACCAAUUCGGUCAUGUUGAAAAGGUUUGUAAAGCCAAGAAUGGUCACACAGAUGAAAAGGCAGCAAUUGCAGAACAAGUAGAUGCAAUAGAAGAACAACUCUUUAUGGCUCAAAUUGCUGAUGAUGAGGAAAGGAACACUUGGCUCAUUGAUAGUGGGUGCUCCAAUCACAUGACAAGGAAUGACCAACUCUUCACCAAGCUUGACAGAAACUUCAAGGCAAGAGUUAGAAUUGGAAAUGGGAUUUAUUUGAAGAUUAUGGGAAUAAGAACAAUAGUUGUGGAAACAAUGAAUUGCACCAAAUACAUCUCAGAGGUCCAUUAUGUGCCUGAAGUGAUGCAAAAUCUUCUAAGUGUGGGUCAACUAGCUGAAAAUCACUAUACUCUUUUGUUCAAAGAACAAUUCUGCACAAUUUUUGAUCCAUUUGGUGAUGAGUUAAUGACUGUCAAAAUGAGAAAUUGAUGCUACUCUAUUAACUGGAUGAAAAUCGAGCAUACUGCUUGUGUUGGUCAAGAAAUUGAUGCUGAACUGUGGCAUAAAAGGUUAGGACAUGUAAAUUUUAAAUCUUUGAGUUACAUGAUUAAUUCUAACACUGUUGAAGGACUUCCCUGUAUGUCCAUUCUUAAGCAAAUUUACAGCACUUGGAUGCAUGGCAAACAGAGCUGGAUGCCAUUUCCCCUAUCAAGUUCCUGGAGAGCGGGUGACAAAUUGCAACUUGUCCAUUCUGAUGUUGGUGGUCCAGUUAAUACUGCUUCACUAAAUGGUAGCAUCUAUUAUGUCAUUUUUAUUGAUGACUUUUCUCGAUACUAUUGGAUUUAUUUUUUAAAAAAUAAAUCAGAAGUAUUUGAGAAGUUUAAAAUCUUUAAAGCGUUGGUGGAGAAUGAGUUUGAAAGUCCUUAGAACUGAUAAUGGUUCAGAGUUCUGUUCAAAUACUUUCAAAAGUUAUCUUGUGGAAAGGGAAUUAAGCAUCAGUUAACAAUCACAUACACUCCUUAGUAAAAUGGGGUCUAUGAGAGAAAAAAUAGGACCAUAUUAGAGAUGACACGUUGUUUACUACAUGAGAAGGGAUUACCCAAGUCAUUUUGGGCAGAGGCUGCAAGCAACGCAGUGAAUUUGCUUAAUAUUUUGCCUUCAAGCAGUCUCAAAAAUUGUAAUGCCCAUGAAAUCUGGUUUGGGGAAAAACCCUCUGUGACUCACUUGAGAAUUUUUGGGUGCAUUUGUUAUGUGAAAAUUCCUGAUCAGAAAAAAACCAAAUUAGAUUGCAAGACAAAGAUUUGUAUUCACCUUGGUUGCAGCAGUGUCUCCAAAAGAUAUCAGGUUUACAAAGUUCAAAGCAAGAAAAUAUCUAUCAGUAGAGAUGUUUGGUUCGAUGAGAAAAGUAAAUGGAAUUAGGAAAAGAAUGCUGUUGGAAUUUCAGAGAAAGUGAACUUCUUUGAUGAUGUAGUUUUGAAUGAACAGAAUCAUGAAGAAGACAUUAAAGAUGAAAGUUUAGUAGUCAAAGGAACAAGAACAUUGCAAGACAUAUAUAGCAAAUGCAAUACUGCUAUAAUUGAGCCUUCCAAUUUCGAAUAAGCAUCAACAGAUAACAAUUAGAGACAAGCCAUGGAGACUGAAAUGGAAAUGAUAAAAAAGAAUGGCACUUGGGUCCUUGUUAAUCGACCAUUAGAUCAAAAUAUCAUUGGAGUAAAAUGGAUAUUUAAAACAAAGUUGAAUGCUGAAGGAACAGUCAACAAAUACAAAGCCAGGUUAGUUGUUAAAGGGUAUUGCCAAGUUUAUGGGGUGGAUUAUUGGGAAACAUUCGCUCUGGUGGUCAGACACGAUACAAUAAGAUUACUCACUGCUGUAGCAGCAAGAGAAGGGUGGAAAAUUUGGCAUAUGGAUGUCAAGUCAGCUUUUUUGAAUGGCACAUUAUCUGAAGACAUUCUCAUUGAGCAACCGGAAGGUUUUGUUGAACUUGGCAAGGAAAGAAAAGUUUGCAAGCUUGUGAAGGCUUUGUAUGGUCUCAAACAAGCUCCUCGGGCAUGGUAUGAUAGAAUCGACACAUAUUUAAAGUCUCAAGGAUUUAUCAGUAGUGCUAACGAGCCUACAUAAUAUGUAAGUGAUUCAUCUAUUUCUGAUAAGCACAUUAUUUCUCUUUAUAUGGAUGACCUGUUGAUCACUGGUCCUAGUGGGUCGAUUCUUGAUGAUUUCAAAAGACGCAUGAAACAAGAAUUUGAGAUGUCAAACUUGGGGGAAACAACAUAUUUUCUGGGCUUGCAAUUUCAUCAAGCUUCUGAUUUUAUAUUUGUACAUCAACGCAAAUAUGCUUGUGAAAUGCUGAAAAGAUUUCGCAUGGAAGCUUAUAAAAUGGUGGAAACUCCACUAGUUACUGGUGCAAAGUUCAAUAAAGAUGAUGGAGCUCCAGCAGCUGUUGGUUCAACUUAUAGAAGUUUAAUUGGCUCUUUACUAUACUUAACAGCCUCACGACCUGAUUUAAUGUUCACAGCAAGCUUAUUAUCCAGAUAUAUGCAAGCUCCUUUAGAGAUUCAUUUUCAGCUAAGAAAAGAGUUCUACGAUACAUUAAGGGAACUGUGGAUUAUGGACUCAAGUUUGAAAAACGAAAAAGCAAGGAGCUAAAGGGAUAUUGUGAUAGCAAUUGGGCUAGAUGUUUGGAUGAUUCCAAAAGUACGAGUGGAUUUUGUUUUUCAUUUGGUAGUGCUAUUUUUUGUUGGAAAUCUCGAAAGCAGGAGGUGGUUGCCCAAUCAUCAGCAGAGGCCGAAUAUAUCUCAGCUGCUUCAGCAACAAACCACACACUUUGGCUUAGGAAAAUGCUUGGAGACUUGGGCUUCGUACAAAUAGAGGGCACUACUCUGUUAAUUGAUAACAAGUCAGCCAUUUCAAUUGCCAAAAAUCCUGUACAGUAUGGUCACACUAAACACAUCAGAGUGAAAUUUCAUUCCAUUAGAGAAGCUGUGAAAAAUGGAGAAAUCAAGGUAGAGCAUUGUAGCACUGAAAAUCAACUCGCAGAUAUCCCUACUCAAGGAUUAAGUAAAGAAAAAUUCAUUUAUCUGAGAGCCAGACUAGGAGUCUAUAAGCUAGGAACCAAGGAGGUGUGUUGAGAGUGGUUCCUACCUCAGCAUUGAAGUUGUUCACAGCGUCAACAGUGGAGCUUUACUUAUUGUUAAGUAGUUACUUUACUAUUAAUGUUAGAAAUUGGUUGUGGUGCUUGACCACGUAUCCUGUAAUGGGUGGUUAUCCCAUAUUAGGUACCAGACUUAGAAUGUGCCCAUCAUGGCAUUAAUUUUCAGUUCUUCUUUGUUGUUUUUUCUUGACUUUAGUUGCAGUUUUUUUAUGAAAUGUAUUGUAAGACAAGUCUGUGUGUGAAUAUGAUCAUCUUCUCUAAUGUCCAGUACCUGGUUUUCUUG
rnacentral:lncRNA from 1 species